GUGUGCUUGCUUUGGCUAUACAUAUACUAAAAUUGGAACCAUAUAGAGAUUAGCAUGGCCCUUGCACAAGGAUGACAUGCAAAUUCGUGAAACAUUCCAUAUUUUU